rnacentral:lncRNA from 1 species
CCACUACUGGUGCUACUAGGAGAAAUUCGUGGAGAAGCUCACUAUUUGUGAGCCCUAGGAGGGUAUCAAGAGGAUGGGGGAUGCAAAGGAAUUAUGAUGACUUUGUCUCUGAAUUUGUAGUAACAAUAUGUGGAUUCGUGAUGUGUGUCGAACAAUUGGUUAUCGUGUUUGCGAUAUAAUGUGUGGGUUCGUGUCUUUUGUGAUAUAUCGCUAUUGUUUGGAUCUAUUAAUGUUGUAAUUAUAUAUCAUAUUUUUUAUCAUGUUUUUCUUAAUAAAAAGAACUUAUUCUAGCAAACUCAGAAAUGAACCUGUUAGAAUGUACGGUUAGAAUGUGAACUUAUUAUAACUGGUCCAUAUCUCUUAUAUAUAAGUCCACUCCGUCCUCCAUCCAUACCGCCACCCUAACCCUACCCACUCCUCCACUCAGUGCACACACCCGCCACUGCCAGCAUCCACAUCCUCUUCCACACCCGCGUCAUAGGCC